GACGAACGCUGGCGGCGUGCUUAGCACAUGCAAGUCGAACGAGGUCCAACCUUCGGGUGAAGACCUAGUGGCGAACGGGUGCGUAACACGUGAGGAACUUGUCCCGGUCUCUGGGAUAACAGUUGGAAACGACUGCUAAUACCGGAUGACGUCGGAGCGUCGCAUGGCGCGCUGACGAAAGGGUUACUGGAUCGGGAGAGCCUCGCGGCCUAUCAGCUUGUUGGUGGGAACGGCCUACCAACGGCAUCGACGGGUAGCUGGUCUGAGAGGAUGAUCAGCCACACUGGGACUGAGACACGGCCCACGACUCCUACGGGAGGCAGCAGUGGGGAAGUCUUGCGCAAUGGGCGAAAGCCUGACGCAGCAACGCCGCGU
rnacentral:rRNA from 1 species